AACGAACGCUGGCGGCAGGCUUAACACAUGCAAGUCGAGCGGGCCCGCAAGGGUCAGCGGCGGACGGGUUAGUAACGCGUGGGAACGUGCCUUUUGCUUCGGAAUAGCCCUGGGAAACUGGGGGUAAUACCGGAUGUGCCCUGAGGGGGAAAGAUUAUCGGCAAGAGAUCGGCCCGCGUUGGAUUAGGUAGUUGGUGGGGUACCGGCCCACCAAGCCGACGAUCCAUAGCUGGUUUGAGAGGAUGAUCAGCAACACUGGGACUGAGACACGGCCCAGACUCCUACGGGAGGCAGCAGUGGGGAAUCUUAGACAAUGGGCGCAAGCCUGAUCUAGCCAUGCCGCGUGGGUGAUGAAGGCCUUAGGGUCGUAAAGCCCUUUCGCCGGGGAAGAUAAUGACGGUACCCGGUAAAGAAACCCCGGCUAACUCCGUGCCAGCCGCCGCGGUAA
rnacentral:rRNA from 1 species